rnacentral:ncRNA from 2 species
GAAAAAGCAAUGAGAGGAAUUAGUAACAGGAUACUCAUUCUAAAGAGAGCCGGUGGCUGGUGGAAACCGGUGUUUGAUACUUGUGAAUCCAUCCUCGAGCAAGGUACGGAACGCUUCUUUUUGAAGUUAGUAAGUACUUUCGGUAAAACCGUUAAAUUUUUUCAAGGUGGACAGAUUGUUCUGUCAACCAGGGUGGUAACGCGGGUAACUCUCGUCCCUGUU